CCGGGUCAUCCCCCGGGCUCCUGCCCGGGGUCCUCCGAUGCCCAGCGCCCACCCCCGGCUCCGCCACGGGUCCUGACCGAUGCGGGUGACAGAUCUGUUGAGCACGGGGGACAGCGAAGGGUCCAGGUCUUCCUGCACGUUCUGCAGCAACACGGGGGAUCCGAACUGGAUGGCCAGCUCCAGCGUGCGCAGGUAGUCGCUCAUCUGCAGGUCGAUGACGUACAGCUUCUGGCGGGGGGCGGACGGAGGGACGCGUUGGACAGGAUCCCGUCCGUCCACUCUCCGCUGCUCAGGUCAUAUUCUCCGUACAGCUCCCCCAGGGACAAGGCCUUUGGGUUCAGGGGAUACUCCUGGGGGAAAGAGGGGAUGGAGGACGGGCACGGAUCCCCGCUCCAGGCUGACAGCCGGGGUCCGCCCCGCCCCCGACACCCGCGGGGACCCCAGACCUCCCCUGGAUCCGUUCAUUCGCUCAGUCGUAUCUGCCGAGCGCUUACAGCGUGCAGGGCACCGGACUAAGUGCUGGGGAGAGGACGGUAGAACAAUAAAGAGGCAUUCCCCGCCCACGAAGAGCUUACUGGAAGUCUCGAGGGGAAGACAGACAUCAAUAUAAAUCAAUCGACGACGGAUACGGACGUGAGCGCUGUGGGGCCGGGGGGGGGGGGGGGGGCGUGACCCGAGGGGGCAGACCAGGGUGACGCGGAAGGGAGAGGAGGGUUUGAUCAGGGAAGGCCUCUUGGAUGCAGUUGGCGGCAUUUGGUAAGCGCCUGCUAUACGCCAUGCGCUCGGGUAAAUGGCUACGCGAGGAGGAGGAGCGGCGUGGCGUGGCGGGUAGAGCACGGGCUCGGGAGUCAGCAGGUCGUGGGUUCUAAUCCUGGCUAAGCCUCGCGCCCGCUCCGCGACCCGGGGCCGGUCGCUUCGCUUCUCCGGACCUCGGUUCCCGCCUCUGGAAAACGGGGACUGAGAGUGUGAGCCCCCCCGUGGACCCGAUCCGCUUCGAUCCACCCCGGGAUUUAAAACGACUCCUGGCACGCGGUAAGCGCUUACCCGGUGCCCUCACUGUUAUCAUUACUAUUACGAUCACAGGGUGGGGGUCCCCCGUGCUCCCCUCCCUGGGAGCCCGGCCUCCUCGCCGCCCGCGGCCCCGUCCCUCCUCCCCCGACGCCCCCGCACCCUGACGAGGUUGAAGUUGGGGUCUCCCGCCCGGCAGAGGGCGGACAUGACGGCCUGCAGGGUGCGCCACGUGACGCUCUUGCCACUGCCGGUGGUGCCCACGAUCAUGGUGGAGUGGCGGGAGUUCUUGGUCUCAUACAGCUGGAUGACCUUGUUCACCGCGAAGGUCGUCCGCUGCAGCCCCUCCUGCUCCAUCUCCUGCUCGAUGGUCUCCUUCAGCUGAUGACGAAGAUCACCGUGACGGCGGUGUCCGGCGCUCAUCACGUACCCGGCGGCUGGACACGGUCCCUGCCCCGCACGGGGCUCACGGUCUCAAUCCCCACAUUCCGGAUGAGGGGACCGAGGCCCAGAGGAGUGAGGUGACUCGCCC
rnacentral:lncRNA from 1 species